rnacentral:rRNA from 1 species
UACGAAGGUCCCAAGCGUUAUCCGGAUUUAUUGGGUUUAAAGGGUGCGUAGGCGGGCUAUUAAGUCAGUGGUGAAAUCUCCGAGCCUAACUCGGAAAUUGCCAUUGAUACUGAUGGUCUUGAGUACAUUUGAAGUGGGCGGAAUGUGUCAUGUAGCGGUGAAAUGCUUAGAUAUGACACAGAACACCGAUUGCGUAGGCAGCUCACUAAACUGUAACUGACGCUGAUGCACGAAAGCGUGGGGAGCAAACAGG